UGUAAGUUCGCCAUAUUAGGGUGAGACUGCGCAUAGCUCAUUAUAUCAGUGGUCAUCUACAAGCUUGUUAGAUGUAAAGGGAUAUCCGUGGCAAUUCGUCGCUUAAUACCUGCCUAUUCCCGAAUUUUUUACGUUCGCUUGAUGACCCGCUUGCGGGCCUUGCUCUCGAUCCACUGCCCUAUCAACUUCCGAUGGUAGUAUAUAGGACUACCAUGGUUUCCACGGGUAACGGGGAAUCAUGGUACGAUUCCGGAUAGGGAGCCUGACAAAUAGCUACCACAUCCAACGAUGGUAUCACGCGCGCAAAUUACCCACUGGGAAUUCCCCGAGGUAGCUAUGAGCAAUAGCUAAUCGUUCUCCUUAUGGGACACGCCAUACCCAUGACGUCAACGUGAACACUUGACCGAAAGCAACU
rnacentral:rRNA from 1 species